rnacentral:rRNA from 1 species
AUUGAACGCUGGCGGCAGGCUUAACACAUGCAAGUCGAGCGGGGGAAGGUAGCUUGCUACUGGACCUAGCGGCGGACGGGUGAGUAAUGCUUAGGAAUCUGCCUAUUAGUGGGGGACAACAUCUCGAAAGGGAUGCUAAUACCGCAUACGUCCUACGGGAGAAAGCAGGGGAUCUUCGGACCUUGCGCUAAUAGAUGAGCCUAAGUCGGAUUAGCUAGUUGGUGGGGUAAAGGCCUACCAAGGCGACGAUCUGUAGCGGGUCUGAGAGGAUGAUCCGCCACACGGGGACUGGGACACGGCCCAGACUCCUACGGGAGGCAGCAGUGGGGAAUAUGGGACAAUGGGGGGAACCCUGAUCCAGCCAUGCAGCGUGUGUGAAGAAGGCCUUAUGGUUGUAAAGCACUUUAAGCGAGGAGGAGGCUACUCUAGUUAAUACCUAGGGAUAGUGGACGUUACUCGCAGAAUAAGCACCGGCUAACUCUGUGCCAGCCGCCGCCGUAA